UGCGCCUUCGGAAACUCAGCAUGCGCAGACGGCGUCUGUGUAUGCGUGACGGGGACAAGCUACGACGUCACGACUGGCAACUGUCUGAUUCGUUGCACCAUAUACGGCAGUGAAAGCAGUACUUACCCCGAAUCUGGAAUCACCAGCUGUAACACCAACGCCCUGACAACGUCAACAAUGGAGGCGUGCAUUGCCGCAUGCAAGGGAGAGACUUGCUUUGUGUGUAUCAGUGCGGAGUAUCACCACGGUGGUGGCACAUGCCACCUCUGUGACACACCCGCUCUAGAGCUCCCUGAGGGGUACGUUAGUUCUGGUACCGCUCUUGGCUGGUCCCUGGCAGUACGACACUGUGCACAAUAACAAUACUGCAAUAACAAUACUGCAAUAACGAUACUGCUCAUACUGUGACAAUGAAUCAGAACGGACAGCAAGACACAGCAACUUACCGAGAGGGAGACUAUUCACAUUUAUGUUUCAAACGUCUGUGUCUUUUUGACAGCGGUAUUGGCUUCCAGGUCAUUGGAUAAGCGUUUUGUGACUAGGUAUGACAAAGUUGAUGCUGUAACAAUUAGUAGCAAAAGGUAAGAAUAACGGUCUGUCGCAUUUGCUAUUUGAUUGCAGCUUUUGUGACUGGGGUAAUAUAAACGCCAUGCUCAGUGAACUACAAAGAACUGACCAGAGGUGCAGUUUAGGAAGCCGUUUUGAUCAUCCUUCAACCUUGUACGCAUUGUUUGAAAUCGUCGUUAUCAAUUUCAAUAGUUUCAAACCAAUGCGUCAUAGGCAUUAACAACAUGUUCGUCAACUGUUGAUCACAUGCUCGGACCCAUUGACGCUGGUUUCAUGUUUGACAGUAUACCUACCUUGGUGACCCUUCAGAAUGAGUAUAUAAUUGGAGAUUUAUUAGAGCUAGAAAAUAUAGUGAA